GCCCUCUGGUCAAGACAGAGCGAACUAUUCUUUCUCCUUUUACUAAAGAAUACCACGUGUUGGCCACUCUCAGCCGCAUACACCAAUUUUUGGAGCCUUCCAUCUCUUUUCUAAACAUGGA
rfam:Picea glauca, whole genome shotgun sequence.